UCUAACCACGACUUGACUCAAAACCCACACCCAUCAACACUCUCAACUCAAGCAAGUCUUGUACGUUAUGUUAAUUUGUGUAUAUAUAUGUGAUGAUUAUUGGAUGCAGUUAUUAGCGACUUCAUUAUCAUACUACAAUCACAAUUUGCAGCCAUGGAGAAAAAGCUUUAUUGCAUUUUACCAUAUGCAUUCCUAAUCACCAUAACCUUCCCUAUGCUUUCUUCUGUAUCCAAACAACCUCUGAGCCUUGCAACUGAUCAAACUGCCCUUCUUUCACUCAAACAUACAUCUCUUUUACUUGCAACUAAUUGGACCAACUCCACCUCCGUCUGCACCUGGAUUGGCGUCACUUGCAGCUUCCGCCACCACAGAGUAGCUGCCUUGAAUCUCUCCAACAUGGCUCUCUCCGCCACCAUUCCUCCACAGCUCGGACACCUCUCCUUCCUCGUCUCCCUCGACCUCUCCAACAACCUCUUCUAUGGAGAUUUGCCACACCAACUGUCUCUCCUUCGCCGUUUGAAGUUCAUAUCUCUCCGACUCAACAACUUCACCGGAGACAUCCCUCCGAUGUUGGGUCAGUUACCAAAAUUAGAGUACUUGAAUUUACGCAACAACAGCUUCAUAGGUUCCAUCCCAAAAUCGCUCUCAAACCUCACAAACCUACAAGUUCUUGACUUAUCUUUCAAUUCACUAAGUGGAGAAAUUCCAAAAGAGAUUGGGAGACUUCAAAGUCUACAAACUCUAGUUGUUCAAUUCAAUCAUCUCUCCGGUGCUAUACCAUCAGCCAUAUUCAACAUCUCGACCCUUGUAACUAUAGCAUUGAGAGACAAUGAAUUGAGUGGAAGUCUUCUAACAGACAUGUGCAAUAAUCUUCCAUUUCUUGGUGGGAUUUAUCUAUCUUACAAUCAGCUGAGUGGCGCCAUUCCCACAAAUCUGUCCCAAUGUUCACGACUUGAGGUGUUGAGCCUCUCUUACAACUCUUUUAGUGGGGAGAUACCUUCAGAAAUCGGCUACUUAACAUCUCUUCAGAUUUUAGCUCUUGGUGGCAACAAUUUGAAUGGAAUACUACCACAUGAGAUUGGCCAUCUUCAAAGUCUGGUUACUUUUGCUGCUGAAGAUAAUAAGAUUGCGGGCUCAAUUCAUUUCAAUAUUUUCAUGAAUAUGUCUUCUCUGCAAACCUUAUUACUAUGGCGCAACAAAUUUACGGGGAACCUUUCAAGGGAUGUCGGGAAUAUUACCAUGCUAACAGAGUUAUACCUCUCGGAAAACCAUUUUACAGGGCUUAUUCCCACUGAAUUUGGCCAACUUUACCAUUUGGAGAUAUUAGGAUUAGAAUGGAACAGCUUGAGUGGUUCGAUUCCACAUGAGCUCUUUAACAUUUCAACUCUUCGGAGUCUUGGACUUAGCGGCAAUGCUCUGUCAGGGGUUCUUCCAACCCAUUUAUGCCAUGCCUCUCCCUUUCUUGAACAACUUUAUCUUGGCAGUAAUUCUAUCACUGGAACAAUACCCAACUCUAUCUCUAACUGUUCUCAACUCACAAUUCUCUCACUUUCUGAAAACAAAUUCAGUGGUUAUAUACCUACUCAUCUCGGCAACCUAAGACUUCUUCAAAGACUUUCUCUGCGCAGCAACAAUCUUACCCAGGCACCAUCUUCUUCCUUCAUUACUUCAUUGACAAAUUGCAAGUCUCUAACUAUUUUGUCAAUUGAUGAUAAUCCUCUAAAUGGUGUCAUUCCAGCUUCUGUUGGGAACUUAUCUUCCGCACUUCGAACAUUCAGUGCCGAGAACUGCAAAUUCAGAGGCAGCAUUCCUGUUGAAAUAGGCAAUUUAAGCAAUUUGAUGACAAUGGCUUUGCCAGGAAAUGAGUUAUCUGGUAAUAUUCCACUAACUAUAAGCUAUUUGCAUGAACUUCAAGGAUUAUAUCUGUCUGAUAACAUGUUGGGAGGCUCAAUACCACAUGUUAUAUGUAAUCUAUUCAGCCUCGUUACUUUAGAUAUGAGCCAUAAUCAAUUUUCAGGCCCAAUUCCUAAAUGUCUGGGAAAUAUCUCUUCUUUAAGAAAUCUUGGUCUAGACUCCAACAUGUUGAAUUCAAGCAUACCUUCAAGCUUAUGGGGCCUAAAAGAUUUGAUCUAUCUAGACUUGUCCUCAAAUUUAUUAAAUGGGGCACUACCUCUAGAGAUGAGUAACUUAGGAGCAGCGAUCUAUAUAAAUGUAGCAAUGAAUAAGUUGUCAGGGUCAAUUCCUAGCACUAUCGGGAAGUUGCAGAAUUUGGUUAAUCUGUCUUUGGCAAAUAAUAGACUAGACGGUUCUAUUCCUGUGUCUAUGGGAAGCAUGAUCAGUUUGGCAAAUCUCGACUUGUCGUACAACAACCUCUCUGGUUCAAUUCCAAAGUCUUUAGAAGCACUUCAACACCUCGAUUACUUUAAUGUCUCUUUCAAUAGUUUAAGUGGAGAAAUUCCUAAUGAAGGUUCUUUUAGAAACUUCACUAUGGAUUGUUUUAAGGGUAACGAGGCAUUGUGUGGAAGCCCCAAGUUCCAUGUCAAAAUUUGCCCUUCAAUUUCUAAUCACAUAUCAAAGAGAAAGAAGGUGGAACGAGCUUCAUUUAUUGUUUUCGGGGUUGUGGCUUUCAUCUCAGUUGUUUCUUUGACCUUUAUAAUUGUCAGAAACAAAAGGAAAGAUAAGACGACUAGCAGAGAAGUUGAUGAAUUGAUAUUCAUUGUGCCGGAAAGAAUCUCUUAUUAUGAACUGCAACAAGCAACAGAAAGAUUCGACGAAAGCAAUUUACUUGGCACUGGGAGUUCUUGCUCUGUUUAUAAAGGAAUUCUUAACAAUGGGAAGGAUAUCGUUGUCAAGGUGUUUGAUAUGCAGCUAGAAGGUAUUUCAAGAAUAUUCGAUGUCGAAUGUGAGAUACUACGUAGCAUUCGACACAGGAAUCUGACAAGCGUCAUAAGCAGUUGCUCCAAUGAAGAGUUCAAGGCAUUAGUACUUGAAUAUAUGCCAAAGGGAAACCUUGAAAAAUGGUUAUAUUCCCACAACUAUUGCUUGAAUAUGAUGGAAAGAUUGAAUAUAAUGAUUGAUGUUACAUCUGCUUUGGAGUAUCUUCACCACGAUUAUUCAAUGCCCAUUGUCCACAGCGACUUGAAGCCUAGUAAUGUACUGUUAGAUGAAGACAUGGUUGCCCAUGUAAGCGACUUUGGGAUAGCAAAGUUGUUAUGCGAUGGAGAUAGCUUUGUGUUAACCAAUACGCUAGCAACAUUGGGUUACAUCGCUCCAGAGUAUGGCUUGGAAGGGCUAGUUUCAACAAGGUGUGAUGUGUAUAGCUACGGGGUGAUGUUGAUUGAAACUUUUACGAGAAAAAGGCCUAGUGAUGAUAUGUUUUGUGGAGAUAUGAGCUUAAAGAGAUGGGUAGAACUCUCACUUUCGGAGAACCCAGAUGAAGUGAUAGAUGCCAGCUUAGUCAUGAAUUUGGAGGAAGAAAUGAUUGACAAGAAUAUGCAGUGUGUAUCAUCCAUACUUGAAUUGGCUCUGAACUGCUCUGCGGACUCUCCCGGGGAUAGAAACAACAUGAAACAAGCACAUGCAGAGUUGCAGAAAAUCAAACAUCGGUUUUCCCAAUGAAAUUCAACCGAACUCGAUCAAGCUGCCUAGAAGCGCAAACCCGAUCUUCACACGGCAUAGAAGGUAGCAGCAAUUGAUUGUGAUACUCAUCGAGCACACAUUCAAUUCGACGUCCCAUUGGCGCAUUCCGUCGAACAUGUAGAGGCAACUCGUAAUUUGGAGAUCCCACUUUCGGAGAUCCCAGAUGAAGUGAUAGAUGCCAACUUAGUCAUGAAUUUGAAGGAAGAAAUGAUUGACAAGAAUAUGCAGUGUGUAUCAUCCAUACUUGAAUUGGCUCUGAAAUGCUCUGCCGACUCUCCCGGGGAUAGAAUCAACAUGAAACAUGAACAUGCAGAGUUACAGAAAAUCAAACAUCGAUUUUUCAAAUGAGAUUCAAGUAAGCUAUUUCAAAGUUCUUAGAUGAUAUCGUUCUAUUACCAUUUUAUUGAUGCUCAAGGUUUUUCUAUCCCUCUUUCCUCCAUAUUUUAUGUUCUUGAGUUUACAUAUAAUCUUCUUUGUCAUAGCUUAAAAGGCAAAAUCUUUAUGAACAACGCCUCUGCCUCACUAAUCUCACCAACUAAUACAACUCCUCUCAAAAGAGUUCUGAAAAUUCUGAUAUUCCGUUUGCAUCCGAACUUGAUCAAGCUGUCCAGAAGCGCAAACCCAAUCUUAAUAUUAUCUUCUUGUUUUUAUGGCCUUAGUUUGCUUAGAUCAUCUUGUUGCUGAGGCGCAUAAUGUUUCUGUAUAAU